CCGGGUAGUGAUUAUUCAUUUGGGCAGAUGGUCAGGGACUUGGGGAGAACACCAUCAGAAAAUUGGUGAAAAGAAUUUUUGAAGAAAAGCUGCUGGUGUGAUUACGAAGAAGCCCAGCAAAUGGAAAUUAACAAGGGUCAACACACUCACUUGCUACAUCAGAGAAGCAGAAGGAAGCAAAUGAAUAAAUAACACUGAUUUAUCAACAACCAAAGAUCUGGGAAGAUAACACAAAUAUGUCAUGGAAAAAUGAAAAACCCUGGGGUGAAGGAUUUGAAUUGGAGAUGGUCCUGAGAACAUGUCUGUGGACUUCUGAACCUUCAGAGAAGAAAUAGCAUCUGAAAGCUAGAAAUAUCACAGAAAAAGAUCAACUAAAUUAUUCUGUAUCAUGUAAGA